UUGAUCAAAGUUGAUCCAACGACUGAGAUCAGAUCAACCCCUCUUUCCUCUUAAACCACAAAAAAAACCCUAAUCCUCAAUACACAAAAAUUUCAGCCGCAGCACAACCUUCUCUCUCAUCUCUCACUUCCUCUCUCUAUUGACAGCCACGGCCAUCACCACUCACCCCACCGGCAACGGACAACCAACAACAGCCUCCUCCUCCCUCUCAUCUUAACCUCCGUCCCCUGCCGCCAAGAGUCACCAGCCGUCCACCGGCCAACUUCCAGCACCACCAAAAAAGCCGAUAAUGGCUUUCGCUCCACUCUUUUUCCCCUUUCGACGAACCAACCACCAGCGGCCAGUGCCUUCGCCACCGGCAACCAAUAACAACCGCCAAAACAGCUCCAAAAUCAGCCGGCUACCAUGGCCGGUGAACAGCGAACCGUCCCUCUCCGGCGAGUCAGCCUCCGCCGAACCAGACGCCAGACGUCCUACCGCCACAAGUCACUGCCUCCGCCGUCGAUGAAUCGCCACCAACAAACAACAUCGCAAUCCGACUAUUCCGGCCAAAUUUGUUAGAAAACAAGUUGGGAUUUGAAGAGUCGCCCGUGGGGUUUGAGAGGGACUACAUUACUCCCUUGUAGUUUAGUUAUUUCUUUCUCUUUAUGUUGGCCUGUAAUGUUGUAUAAACGCUAUUUUAUUGUAAUAAUAAUAAUUGGGGACUGCAUGGGACGGGAUUUUACA